UACGUAGGCAGCAAGCGUUGUUCGGAAUUACUGGGCGUAAAGAGUGUGUAGGCGGUGCUCUAAGUUCGGUGUGAAAUCUCCUGGCUCAACUGGGAGGGUGCGCCGGAAACUGGGGUGCUGGAGCGCGGGAGAGGAAAGCGGAAUUCCUGGUGUAGCGGUGAAAUGACGUAGAUAUCAGGAGGAACACCGGCGGUGUAGACGGCUU
rnacentral:rRNA from 1 species